UGGGGUUACCAUAGGGGCUUAGGGGGUGGGUACAGGAGGCGUUAUAGGGUUACAUAGGGGAUGGGUACAGGAGGCGUUAUGGGGUUACAUAGGGGGUGUGGUACAGGAGGCGUUAUGGGGUUACAUAGGGGUGGUACAGGAGGCGUUAUGGGUUACUAGGGGGGGUACAGGAGGUCUGUUCAUGGGGUUACCAUAGGGGAGGUGUACAGGAGGUGUUAGGGGUACAUGGGAUGGUAGGUACAGGAGGCCGUUAUGGGGUUACAUCGGGGAUGGGUACAGGAGGCGUUAUGGGGUUACAUAGGGGGGAUGGGUACAGGAGGCGUUAUGGGGUUACAUAGGGGAUGGGUACAGGAGGCGUUAUGGGGUUACAUAGGGAUUAGGGGGUGGGUACAGGAGCGUUAUGUGGGUUACAUAGGGUAUUAGGGGGUGUGGUACAGGAUGUCGUUUAUGGGUUUACAUGGGGGAUUAGGGCGGGGGGUACAGGGGGUAGGGGAUGCAUUAUGGGGUUACUGGGGAUUAGGGGGUGGGUAACAGGGUUAGGGGAUGCAUUAUGGGGUUACAUAGGGGAUGAUUAG
rnacentral:lncRNA from 1 species